AGAAUGUUUUAUUCACUUCUUAUGUGACAGCAGACUACUCACUAGGUGGUAUGAUCCAACUUAAUAAGAUAGGGGAUCCAGUGUAACACAGAGCCUAAGUCUCUGAGGGAGGAUUAUGGAGAUGAAAUGGGGGAGAACCGGCGCUACUGUUGGAAGGGUGUGAGAUUGCCUUCAUGAUCUAUUUGAUUUAAUAACUCCAAGGUAACCUCUUAACUUGGUGUCUGGACCUAAAGCCUAUAAUCCCUUUUCUAGCAUUUUAAAUGUUCUUCAGUUAUUUAUUACAGUGUGAGUGAAUCUCAGAUCCUUUUGUGAGAACAAAUUUUAGCAAAGACUAGUCACAUGCCGUACAUCAUAUUAAAUUCUUGGGCUGCUGUGCACUCUGGGAUAGAAGCUGCUAAUAGGAAUGUUUGUCAUCCCCCUAUAUCAGGACUCAGUUCCUUUCCUGAAAUACUGGCUUUGGUAUGUCUGGGAUGGACUAAUUCCACCUUGGCAUCUCCUGGGACCUUGCUGUUCAAUGUUGAUAAAAUACCUUUGCAUUUUACAAACUUAUGUGAUAACUUCUGUAGCAAGUAUAGAAUGACGCAAUGACAGCCUAACAUAACCUACUGUGACAGAGAAUAAAAGGAGAGAGAGAAUAAAAUCAAGAACAAGAGAAUGAGAGAGGAG